rnacentral:lncRNA from 1 species
GUUGAGGCCGGAAGGGUUAAGCCCGUCGCCCACGAUGCAGCCAGCAAGAGGCUGACGUAGUCUGACCCUGCACUGCCAUGCUGUGGGGGCCGGUGCAGGCUGGAGAAGCAGUUUUCCACCCAUCCCGGGCAGCUGCAUGUGUGAUGGUUCUCUCGUCGAACCCACUCCUGUGGUGGACACUGCAUCAUGCACAAGCCUCAGAGGGCCAGUUAUGGGACUGGCUCCACAAGACAAGUGGGUCCCAGCAGAAAGAAGAAUGUCUUCACCUCACUGGCUCUCCAAUGAUGCCAUCAACACUUGCUUCUUUAAGUUGCCUGACAACGUGGCCUAGAAGCACUGUCUCCCUGGGAACUGCCAGCUCCGAGGUAAGGAUUGGGUGCUCUGGAGGGCAUAGAGGGCACUCCCUGUCUCUGUGCCUGGCAGCCUGGCUCAGUGUGGGUUCUGGAGCCCAACUCCUCACUUCAAAUUCUGGCUCCAUUAUUUACAACUCAUGUGCCCAUGAGCAAGUUAUUCAGCCCCUCCGUGCCUCCGUUUCCUCAUCUGUAAGAUUGGGCUAAUACUAUCUUCAUAUGGUUAGUGAGGGUGUAAUAAAAUGAUGCACAUAAAAUGCUUAGAACA